CCCUCUUCCCUUUACUGUUUUCAUUAUCAUCCUCAUUUCUUCCCAUUUGCAUUUUCCCCAAACCCCAAUUUCAUUUAACAAAACUGAAAUCAAAAAUUUGUUCUUGUUCCAUUUUAAGCCAUUCGAAAUCCCUUGCCUUCUAUUCCUCUGAAUUUCGCAGUCUUCUCCCUCAAAAUAACUCUGAGAAUUCGAGUAUAGAACAAUGGCUUUUCGUGCUUUCUUUCCUUGCCAUUUUGACAUGAAACUUUCGAAAUUACCAACAAUGGUGCCUUGUUCUAAUUGCUUUCGCCUUCUUGCCUGAUUCUUGAACAAACAAACAUAAUUUGUCCUUCCCAUUCCUCUGAAUUUCAAUAGCAAGUACUGCACCUCCGUUUUCCUCUGAUUGUAUCGCUCAAAAUACAAAUAGCUUGCCCUCUUAUUUGAAACAUGAAGUGGGAGAACAACAAGAACAUCUUGCUUUACUUUGGAUAUGACUACGUCGAUGAGCCCUUCUAAUCAAUUGUGGUGAACCGGUCUUGACUCUUUGAAGCGUCAUUGUUGGUGAGUAAUAGCAGUCCCUUAAAAGGGUUUGACCAGACUAUUGUUUGAAAUGGUUUUAUCAAGCUGUUUUGGAAAUUAUAAUUAUUGAAACUGAUUUGUGAUUGAUUGAUUAUAUUGAUAUUGUUAUAUGGUCAAUAGAUCGGGCUCACGAGUUGGUCAUUGACGGAGUAGAGGAGCGUUGUCUCUCUACUCCUUUGUUUUGAGGUGAAUUUUCAUUCAAAUAUUGACUAGCCUCACCCGAGAGUGACAUAGCCUUAGACCUAUGGAUGUUCCUCUCAACUAGACUCCUUGUGCGCACAUAGAUUUAGGAAACUGAUGUUGCUUUUAAUCUUAUGAUUUGAAUUAUUGUGUUUUGUCGUUUUGGAUUGUUACUUCUCAUUCAGUUUAACCUGUCCCCCUGUUGUUUCCAUCUUUUAGACUGUCUACAGAUUGAAAUCGGUCGGGAACGAUGGGUUAGCGAUAAUGAUUAGAGGUACAUGGAUGUUAAAUUGAGAUGAGUACGUGAGAAGUUGCAGCUUUGUAUAGGUUUUGGUAAAUGUAUAUUGGAUUAGAUUGUAUUGCUUAUGUUGGACUUUUAUAGUGACUAUUAUGAUUACUUUGUAUUUUAGUUAGAUGUUUAGAUUGAGAAUUAGUUGAUACAGCUAUGUCUUAGAACUGGUGAUCCUUUUGCACAAGUUUUAAGUUUCUUGGGAAAAAAACCCCGUGAUGAUCCUGUUUAUUCAGUUAACGGUAAGUCGGGUUGUUACAGUUGGUAUCAGAGUCAACCUACGACCGUGGCUAAUCCUUAGGGUUAGUUAACCUAGCGGGGAAAUAAUCUUGGGAGUAAGGAAAAACAUGAUUUGAGGACUUUCACUUAAGAUAAGAGAUCAGUAUAAGACUAAACAAUAGGUGAUGUUUUGGAUCUAGGUCUUUUGAGUUAGGUAGGUUUGUUAGAAAUGUAUUAGGUGACAAAUGAGGAUUACGGGGUAAAACAGGUACGCUCUAACGAUGGAUCGUGAUGGUACGAAGACUCAUUUUGUCAAUGCGAUGCUUCAAUUGUUGUUUGAUUAUGUAUAUAUGAUUAUUAUGGUUUCUUGCUAGUUGUUGUCUAAGUAGCUAAGGUUUUUACGUUUUGAAGUUGGAUUAUAUCACUAUGCUAUGUUCUAGCGUGUUGCUUAUAACUUUUCCAGUUGAACUAGAGAUUAAAGAUCAAUACAUGAAAACAAGGACAAAUUGUUGGGAAGUAUAGUUAGUAUUUUGUUAUAAAUGGGUUGUUACAACAGCUUCUCUUUUUCAAACCCUAAUAUUUGUUAAACAAUUCUACCGUUACUUUCCUCAAUCAUCGAAUAUGUAUCCAAAAUCUUCAGACUUUGGCUGCUCACCCUUCAUCUUCCUCUCUCAGUUAAAGUUCCCUUUCUAAGUUGCCAUUCAAUUUCUUUUUACCUUUUUUUAUAAUGUUUUUUCCAUUAAUUUUUUCCCUAUUUAUUGAUCUAAUUGUUGCUCUGUACUGCAUGCUGAUGAUGUGUACUACCUGUUGUGUUCUUGAUCUGUAUGGUAAUUUGUUUCUUUGUUGUUCUUGUUGUGUGUUGUGUAUUGUCUGCUGAUGUUGUGUCAUGGGGGAUUCUAAUCUCAUAAUUUCAUAGAUAAAAGGGAUUAUUAGUUUCCCAUAACAUUUACAUGUUUAAAAUGUUAAAUUAAUAUAUUACAUCUUGUGGGUUUACUUCUUAGAAUCACAUUUUGAGUCAUAAUACAACCAGUUCUAGGGGUGUUUAUCGAGUAAUUAUUUUAGCGGCCCAUGUCCCGACCCUGUUUAUUCGGGUACCCGGCUAUUGGGUACCCGGUAAAUCGAGCCGAGACACCGGGUACUAGCUUUAAAUUGUGUUGACUUUUUUUAGGCUUUACUAUCAUUUGGAUUGAUGAUUGGAGCAUUGAUAUUGUUUCGUGUAAUGAAGCAGAAUGACACAUUGCUGGACACCACAAUGAAAACAUCAAUUGUUAGAUGAAACUAGAAUAAAUGAAAAUUUUCAUGUAGAAAUGAGAGAAGCAGGCAGAGGCAGUAGUCCUAUAGCUCGUACUUAUAUACUUUCAUUAAUUGCUUUUGCCUUAGUGUUGUACAUUAAUUGAUUCAUUUCACAAAGGAUGAAUCAUGCGGAAGCUCUGAAAGUCUACGUCGAGGUUGCUGCUGCUGACAUGUAUCAAGGUGUGCUGAAAGAAGGGAUGCUCACAUCUUAUUAAUGAUCCGUUUUGGGCGUGCAGAAUGCUACCUCUCCUUGCUGGUGCACACUUCGAGUUACUUGUUGAUUUGCCGAGUUGCUGCUGCUUUGUUACUCACAUCUACAUGUUGCCUCAACAACUUUGUUUUACAUAGGGACUUGUUUACUUUCUUGUCUUAGUACAUUGUAUAGGCUACUAACUUUUGCGUUUUGGUGUUUAGUUUCGUGUAUUUUUAUCCUAGGCUUUACUCGAAAUUUAUAAUGUAUAAUUUUUUUUACAUUAAUAAAAAUUUAUUUGCCGAAAAUAAUAAUAAUAAUAAUAAUAAUAAUAAUAAUAAUAAUAAUAAUAAUAAUAAUAAUUUACCGCCAUAAUUAGUUAAAAUGUCAGCUUUAAUAAUUUGCAAUGUUUAUUUGUGGGGAAAAACAAGAAGAAUAACCAUGCAACAUGAAAUUAUGCUGUCACACUUAUCAAGUGAAGAAAGUUUCCAACACCAAUAAGCGUGACUAAAGAUACUACCAGCCACGCGUAUUAGCACUUUUAGCCAUGCUUAUAAAGCGUGCCUAACAAUUUACCAUCACAAUCAGAGACCACGCUUAAUUAAGCGUGGCUAAAU